CAAGUCGAGUGCGCGUUUCCGUAGCAAUACGGAAAUGGCGCACGGCGCACGGGUGCGUAACACGUGGGUAAUCUGCCCUCUGAUGGGGAAUAACCCCGCGAAAGCGGGGCUAAUUCCGCAUAACAUUCCUUGGACUCCGGUUCGAGGAUUCAAAGGCGUAAGUCGUCGGAGGUGGAGCCCGCGCACGAUUAGCUAGUUGGUGAGGUAAUGGCUCACCAAGGCUAUGAUCGUUAGCUGGUCUGAGAGGAUGGCCAGCCACACUGGAACUGAGACACGGUCCAGACUCCUACGGGAGGCAGCAGUGGGGAAUCUUGCACAAUGGGCGAAAGCCUGAUGCAGCGACGCCGCGUGGGGGAUGAAGCUUCUCGGAGUGUAAACCCCUUUCGACCGGGACGAAUACCUCGCAAGAGGGGUGACGGUACCGGUAUAAGAAGCCCCGGCUAACUACGUGCCAGCAGCCGCGGUAAGACGUAGGGGGCCAGCGUUGCUCGGAAUUACUGGGUGUAAAGGGUUCGUAGGCGGUGUGGCAAGUCGGGAGUGAAAUCUCUGGGCUUAACCCAGGGGCUGCUUCCGAAACUGCCGUGCUAGAGUGUGGGAGAGGCGCGUGGAAUUGCAGGUGUAGCGGUGAAAUGCGUAGAUAUCUGCAGGAACACCCGUGGCGAAAGCGGCGCGCUGGACCACUACUGACGCUGAGGAACGAAAGCUAGGGGAGCAAACAGGAUUAGAUACCCUGGUAGUCCUAGCCCUAAACGAUCAGGACUUGGGGUGCCACCCGUUCGGGUGUCGUCCCGGAGCUAACGCGUUAAGUCCUGCACCUGGGGAGUACGGUCGCAAGACUGAAACU
rnacentral:rRNA from 1 species